rnacentral:misc_RNA from 1 species
UGCCGCAUAAGCUAGCCAGAGUGCCAGCUGAGUUCUCUGCAAAACAAAACUUAGCAUCCCAAUGUCCUACCGCAUUAACUUUUAUAUUACCUACAGGUUUCAUGAAAAGUACUGCAAUCCCUUGGUUCGCGCGUGCGCAUAGGAUAUGAGAUUAUCGCUUCUAUGAUAUCUGAUAAGUGAGCGCAAGCGGCGUUGUCGCUAGCAACGAUCAGUAUGUCUGCGCUUCUCAGUCACUUCGAAGACUUCUACUUCACGAAUCAGUACUGGGAAUAUUUGGAAUUUCUAGCGCAUUCUUCAUUCACAACGGUCAUGGCUGAUAUGUUCGAGCAUCACCUGGUGACAAUAUGCACAGUCGUCCUUUUGUCCGUUGCUGUGGCACUAGGAAUAAUUCUUUUUUAUAGGAAAAUAAAGAACAAAGUGGACGUUGUGCGGGCGCGAAUGCUGGGUACUUCGAGGCCCCGCUUUCGUAAGAGGGACAAGGUGCUGUUUUACGGGCGCAAAAUGUUGAGAAAGGUGAACUUCCUUACAAAUCAAGCCACGAGUGGCAGGACGAGGCAAAAAAACAGACAAAUGGUCCUGCGCUUCGCAAAAAGGCUGCUGCGCCUAAAGAAGGAUCAGCCACCAACAUUACAAGUUAAGGAACCAUCACAGGCAUUCCUUGAAGAAGACUACACAGAACAAAUGGAGAAGCGCCUACCACCAGACGUCAUUUAUAUGUUGCGAAGCAUACGGGUGUUUGGUUUCUUUGAGAAGCCCUUAUUUAUGGAGCUAUGGAAGCACAUUGAAACAUUGUUUGUGCCUCGGGGUACUAUGCUGUUUUCACUUGGCGACAGCGAUGACAGCAUCUACGUGGUGCAGUCUGGCCGCAUACACGUGCACAUCGUUGAGCCUGAUGGAACUGAGCUUACAUUCAAAGAAGUGACAGCUGGCGAGAAUAUUGCAAGUCUACUAAGUGCACUUGUUGUGCUAACCGGUGUGCCAUCCACAUUUAAGACAGUUGCAGCUCGUGCUCUUGAGGACUCUUCGGUCUUGAGGCUUCGGUAUGACAGCUUUCGUAUCCUGCUUACGAAGUACCCAGACUCAAUGAUCCGCCUCUGUCAGAUAGUCAUGAUUCGUCUGCAUCGGGUCACCGUCACAGCUCUCCACAACUACCUUGGCCUCACCACGCAGCUUAUGCGCUCGUCUAGUGGAGGUAGACGGGCACCUGCAUUGUCACCCAAGUCAAGUCCAUGUCGAACCCCCAGCCGUAAGCUGAGCCAUGCCAAGGAUGCUUCCACUCCUUUUGCACCACUUGCCGCAGGUGCACUGGGGGAGCUAGUGGUGCCCGAGGAGUGUGGCCAAGGGAGUGCUCCUGAAACAGGAUCAUUCCACCCUUCAGAUGAGGCUACAGAGUCUGAAAAGUUGGCCACUGAAGAUCCUUCUGGUGCAGCUGCAUUCAAAACUUCUUCGUCAAACCGAAAGGUGUCUGGAGCAUCUGAUGCAGCUGGAUCACGCAAGUCAACUCGAAAAACAUCCUUUGUUAUUGGUGAGGGCUCCCGGACUUCCUCGUCGGCUCAAGAAUACAACGAUUAUGUUGAAGCAGCUGUCCAAGGUUUCACAAGCAGGCUGGACAUUGAGGAUGAGGACAUGAUUCGAAACAUGGUGACGGUAAAAGAGUUUCAGCCAGGAGAAUGCUUGAGCAAGGAGGAUUCGGGCGAGCCAGCAUCUCUAUUCUUCAUUCUUUCAGGAUAUGUGGCUGUCUCCCAAAAGACAUCUGCCAAGGACACUGAUGACAUGCUGUACAUUGCUCAUGUGGGUGACAUCACUGGCGCCCUGGAGGUGCUGACAGGCGAGUCACCCAUCUUCAGCCGCAAAGCGAAGGUGGCAUCACGUGUGGCCUUCUUGACAUCCACCCAGUGCUAUGAGAUUCUACGCAUGAACCCCACAGCAGUGUUGUUCAUGGCACGGUCUGUGAUUGAACGGCUAUCACCUUUUGUGCGUCAGAUUGACUUUGCCCUGGAAUGGGUCUACAUUGAGUCUGGCCGAGCUGUCUAUAGGCAGGAUGAAAAAGCAGAGUCUACAGCAAUUGUACUUAGUGGACGUCUGCGUUCUGUGCUGAUAAUGGCUGACGGCAAACGGGCAAUGGUUGGGGAGUAUGGCCGAGGGGACCUUGUUGGAGUAGUAGAACUCCUAACUGGAGCUAAAAGGGCAACUACUGUCAUGGCAGUAAGGGAUACCGAGCUAGCUAAGCUUCCAGAGGGCCUUUUGAAUGUUAUCAAGAUCAAGUACCCUGUGGUGGUAACCCGGCUCAUUCACUUUCUUGGCCACCGGCUUCUGGGUAGCCUGCAAAAAGGUGACACUGUUAAAGCUGCUUCCAUGAUCUCCCGACCAACGGGCUCCAACUUCACCACUAUUGCAGCGUUGGCUGUCAAUGAGGAUGUGCCACUUGCCACAUUCACCCUGGAACUGUGCCAUGCACUUCGCAGCAUAGGACCAGUGUUCCGGCUGACUUCCGAUUACAUUAAGAAGCAGCUUGGGGCUUCUGCACUUGACACAGCCAAUGAGUACCGCCUGUGCAACUGGUUGGGUCAACAGGAGGACCGCAACAGGGUGCUUCUGUACCAGUGUGACAGCCAGAUGAGCUCGUGGACCCAGCGCUGCAUCCGGCAGGCAGACUGCAUACUUAUUGUGGCCCUUGCAGACCAGGAACCACUUGUUGGUCAGCUUGAGAAGCAGGCAGAAAGCAUAGCGCAGCGAACCCAGAAGGAGCUUGUUCUGCUGCACAGGGAGGGCGCAGACAAGCCACGCAACACAGUGGCCUGGCUCAACAUGCGCUCCUGGUGUUCCUCUCAUCAUCACAUUCGAUGCCCUAAGCGCAUGUUCAUGCGCCACUCACCUUCUCGAAUUACGGAGGUGUACAAGAGGGUUCAAGAAGGAACUGUGAAUGUACACUCGGACUUCGCACGUCUGGCACGAUUCCUCACUGGCACAUCAAUUGGCCUUGUACUCGGAGGUGGGGGAGCCAGGGGCUGUGCACAUGUAGGCAUGAUUCGGGCCAUCUACGAGGCAGGUAUUCCCAUCGACAUGGUUGGUGGUGUAAGCAUUGGUGCAUUGGUUGGUGCCCUCUGGUGCCAAGAAGUAAAUGUCACCACGCUCGUCCAAAAGGGCCGUCACUGGUCAAAGAGGAUGACAUCCCCUUGGAGUCAGCUGUGGGAUCUUACCUACCCUAUCACUGCCUGGUUCACUGGUGCAGCCUUCAACCAGACCAUCUAUGAUCUGUUUGGGGACCGCCAAAUUGAGGACCUGUGGCUGCCGUACUUUACUGUCACGACCGACAUUACGAGCAGCUGCAUGCGUAUCCAUCGGCAUGGAAUGGAAGCCGUACAAGGUGCCGUAAGUUGUUUUAGGAGGAUCUCUGUGGCGCUUCAUUCGAGCGAGCAUGUCUCUGUCAGGCUACAUGCCUCCCAUGUGCGACCCUGUGGAUGGACACUUGCUUCUGGACGGGGGAUACGUCAACAAUCUUCCAGCGGACAUUAUGCGAGAGAUGGGGGCUGAGACUAUCAUAGCUGUUGACGUGGGCAGCCAAGAUGACACUGACCUCACCAACUAUGGCGACUGCCUGAGUGGCUGGUGGCUUCUUUUCAAGCGCUGGAACCCCAUUUCAAGCACUGUCAAGAUCCCAAGUCUGCCAGAGAUCCAGUCACGCCUGGCAUAUGUGAGCUGUGUGCGGCAGCUAGAGGAGGU